UCUCCGUAGGUGAACCUGCGGAGGGAUCAUUACUGCGUGAGGGCCUUCGGGCUCGCCCUCCCACCCUUUGUGAACACACCUUGUUGCUUCGGGGGCGACCCUGCCGGCACUUCGUCGCCGGGCGCCCCCGGAGGUCUCCAAACACUGCAUCUCUGCGUCGGAGUUUAAAACAAAUUAAACAAAACUUUCAACAACGGAUCUCUUGGUUCUGGCAUCGAUGAAGAACGCAGC
rnacentral:misc_RNA from 1 species